AUAUGAAUUCCUAUACUAAUAUGAUUGAAAUUAGUUUGACUUGUAUAAUAAUUGUUCUCCCAGAUUGGCCUUCUGUUUUGAUAGUAGAACUAAAUUAUUAGGCUAUUUCAAGAAAUUAAUAUAUUACUGGUAGAAAAACUGAACUUCAGUUAAAUUUGUGCUUCUGAGUGCUUGUAUUGUAGGUGAAACCGCACUGAGAAGGUAUUUGUGGCCCGUAUGCUGAUUGAUUGAUGAGACUUCUUUGCACAGGAGAGCUGCUAAAAAUUACUGCGGUGAACAGUCUUGUUCCAGUGGUUCAUCGGUGACUUCUGUGGCUUCGUCAUCAUUAUCCAUGGAUGAUUCUGAAAGAAUCUCUCCAGUUUUACUGGAAUUGGAUCCUACUAAUUCUUCUGUUUC
rnacentral:lncRNA from 1 species